rnacentral:lncRNA from 1 species
UAAGGUAACCUUGAAUAAUGCGAUGCGGGAUGGAUGAGUAGCUGCUUCUAUUCCGUUCAGCUCUAAGAGGCUAGCUAAGGACCCGUAACUUAAGCCGGGUCUGGGCAGGGCUAGAGAUAAUCUACUACUACUGUAGUCAGUUAGGUGCAAAGUACACCACCUAAUUUACCAUAAUGCAACAGAAAGGAGAUUGAUUCACAAAGAGAAAGACAAGCACGAUCUCUUUCGGUGCCAAUAUUAAACAACGACAGAGUAGAUACGGAGACCCCGUGAUUCGACGGCGAUAGGUUGGAGAUACCCCGAAAAAGAACCUAAAGCACCCAAGCAGCCCCUCAGCUGGCGGUGGCUGACUGUACAGCACGAUCUUGAACGACUAGCUAGCACGCACUUGGUGCUAGCCCAAUUUCCGAUGGGAUCGUCUCGAUGCAACUGGACCAUGAUUUAUCACAUUGUGCCGUCCGAGGCUCGAUGCCUGGCUCUGAGGUGCGUACUCUCGUACGGAGUACGUAGUACAUUUCAUGUCGGGACUACAGCUCAGACUGAUUCGGGAAGAAUGCGGAAGGGACUUGAGCAGAAGUACCUGUAGAGAACAACGAGAUCUAUUAUGUCUGUAGCACAUAGCACAGAGCCAGUCGAGAAAAGAUAGCUACUGCCGAGUAAUUGAAAGCCAGGAGCGGAUCCUUGUACAUAAUAACUGGAGCAGUAGUGGAGCUCUCAAAACGGUAUUGACCAAAGAGAAAAA